CUGUAACUGUCAACGAGACUCCAGAAUGACCAGUAUAUUUUCCACCAUAACGGUCGGGCAGGAACUUGAAGCGAUAUAUUGCUGAAUCACUUUCUCUCAGCUGGUUUAUUCUAAAAGUGCAGUCACUGUUCUUAUUCCCCAGGUACUCCACACGGUCAGAGUACUCUGGGUCCUUGGACAGGUCUUCACCCUCCUGUUUACUGUUCCAGUUGUAACCCGUUAGAAAAAAUAGCAACGCUUUAAAAGGGUCCUGUAGCUUUAAGGAAGAGAGGCUCCCUACCUAACGGGUUAGGAGGACUUGUUCUGCAUCCCUCAUUAGUUUUAUUGGCUGUAACAGGUAGUAAUGUCUUAAGAUUAUUCUGGAAAAUAGUUAGCCCCGCCCACUCCCAGGGACUUGGUUGAGACUGUUUGUCGCACAGGAGAGAGUGCACAGCAAGAGGGGAGAACGGGAGAGAGAAAAAGACGAUCAGAAGUAGAAAAUCAUAAUUAUUAAUUUAAGCGGUAAACCUAAAGAGCAGCUCCUUAAAUGACCCAGGGACCAAAUAUUUUCCAGAUCGCACACUUCAAUUUCUUUCCUUGGGAUCUUUUUCCUUGCGUUUACAUGUUAAAGUUUGCUAAAGUAUCUUAACUGUAGCAGCAACACGUGUGCUAUUAACUCCGUGUUCCUUGAAAAUAGCGUUAGCCACACGUGGCAUUUUUCAGUUUGCACACUUCAGUUUCUUCCUUUGGGAUCUCGGCUGGAUUUUUUGGAUACCCUAGAAGAAACCUGUGAACCUAGGAUUCUCUCCCUGACGAGGGAGAUGGCGAGCCGACCAACUUGACCAACUUGAUUCAUCUUCAUCCAUUGAGGAAGAACCCCCUGAUACCCCUUGUUUCUCCCAACUCCACUCCGGUGUGGUAGGAUUGUGAUUGAGAAAUUACAUAAUUUUAUUUGAUACUUUUUUUUAAAAAGGGUGCACCCAACCAACAAAACUGACUUGAAACCAACUAAAUUGAACUAAACCAGACUGAACAGAAGACAUUCAGAACUUAAUGGACAGUGAAUGCAGUUACAACACUCAGGACAUUGAUAUGAAGACAAAUGAAUGUGGUUGAAUGUGAUAAGUAAAUGCUGGCUUUACAUUUUGUCAUUACACUUUCUUUAAUACACUUCUAACCAUUUUGCACUUA